AACGAACGCUGGCGGCGUGUUUAAGACAUGCAAGUCGAGCGGAAAGGCCCUUCGGGGUACUCGAGCGGCGAACGGGUGAGUAACACGUGAGUAAUCUGCCCCAUGCUUCGGGAUAGCCAGCCGAAAGGCUGAUUAAUACCAGAUAUGACAUCUCCUGGCAUCGGGGGGUGGGGAAAGUUUUUUCGGCGUGGGAUGUGCUCGCGGCCUAUCAGCUUGUUGGUGGGGUAAUGGCCUACCAAGGCUUCGACGGGUAGCCGGCCUGAGAGGGUGACCGGCCACACUGGGACUGAGACACGGCCCAGACUCCUACGGGAGGCAGCAGUGGGGAAUAUUGGACAAUGGGCGGAAGCCUGAUCCAGCAACGCCGCGUGAGGGAUGACGGCCUUCGGGUUGUAAACCUCUUUCAGCACAGACGAAGUUUUGUCUUUUUGGGCAAAGUGACGGUAUGUGCAGAAGAAGGACCGGCCAACUACGUGCCAGCAGCCGCAGUAA
rnacentral:rRNA from 1 species